rnacentral:rRNA from 1 species
UGAAUACGAGACGCUAAGGCGUCGAAGUAGUGUAUGUCAUACUUCCAAGAAAAGCUUGCACUGUCAUAGAUAAAAAACGCCUGUACCAUAACCGACACAGGUGGGUAGGUAGAGUAUACUAAGGGGCGCGAGAUAACUCUCUCUAAGGAACUCGGCAAAAUAACUCCGUAACUUCGGGAGAAGGAGUGCCUUAUUCGUAAGGUUGCAAUAACAAGAUCCAAGCAACUGUUUAUCAAAAACACAGGUCUCCGCUAAGUCGUAAGACGAUGUAUGGGGGCUGACGCCUGCCCAGUGCCAGAAGGUUAAAGAAGUUGGUUAGCAAUUGCGAAGCUGAUAACUGAAGCCCUGGUGAACGGCGGCCGUAACUAUAACGGUCCUAAGGCAGCGAAAUUCCUUGUCGGGUAAGUUCCGACCCGCACGAAAGGCGUAAUGAUUUGGAUACUGUCUCGGAGAGGGGCUCGGUGAAAUAGACUUGUCUGUGAAGAUGCGGACUACCUGCACCAGGACAGAAAGACCCUAUGAAGCUUUACUGUAACUUGAAAUUGAAAUUGGACUUUAUUCGCGCAGUAUAGGUGGGAGGCGUUGAUUAUAAUCUUGUGGGAUUAUUGGAGCCAUCAGUGAGAUACCACUCUUGUAAUGUUAGAUUUCUAACUUUGAAUCAUUAUCUGGUCAAAGAACAGUUUCAGGCGGGCAGUUUGACUGGGGCGGUCGCCUCCUAAACGGUAACGGGGGCGUACAAAGGUUUCCUCUGAACGGUUAGAAAUCGUAUCUAGAGUGUAAAGGCAUAAGGAAGCUUGACUGUGAGACCUACAAGUCGAGCAGGGACGAAAGUCGGUCUUAGUGAUCUGACGGUACUGAGUGGAAAGGCCGUCACUCAACGGAUAAAAGUUACUCUAAGGAUAACAGGCUGAUCUCCCCCAAGAGUUCACAUCGACGGGGAGGUUUGGCACCUUGAUGUCGGCUCAUCGCAUCCUGGGGCGGUAGUACGUCCCAAGGGUUGGGCUGUUCGCCCAUGAAAGCGGUACGCGAGCUGGGUUCAGAACGUCGUGAGACAGUUCGGUCCAUAUCCGGUGUAGGCGUUAGAAUAUUGAGAGGAGCCUUCUUUAGUACGAGAGGACCGAGAAGGACAUACCUCUGGUGUACCAGUUAUCGUGCCAACGGUAAACGCUGGGUAGCUAUGUAUGGAGUGGAUAACCGCUGAAAGCAUCUAAGUGGGAAGCCCACCUCAAGAUAAGUAUUCUC